rnacentral:sRNA from 1 species
ACCAACAAACACGAGAGGAUGAUGGGUGACCGAUGAAGUUCUAAUCUUAUUUUUUCACGAAUUGAAAAGUCAUUUUCAACGCGUAUUAAAUAGGAUUAGUCUGCCCAUUUUCUAAUUGAACGGAAACGUAUACCUCUCCAAGGAUGUAUGUGUAUUUCUGGUACGGCUAAUCCUUCCAAUUUAUUUUGGGAGGAUUUUUUC